rnacentral:rRNA from 1 species
CCUACGGGAGGCAGCAGUGGGGAAUAUUGGACAAUGGGCGAAAGCCUGAUCCAGCAAUGCCGCGUGAGUGAUGAAGGCCUUCGGGUCGUAAAGCUCUUUUACCAGGGAUGAUAAUGACAGUACCUGGAGAAUAAGCUCCGGCUAACUCCGUGCCAGCAGCCGCGGUAAUACGGAGGGAGCUAGCGUUGUUCGGAAUUACUGGGCGUAAAGAGUACGUAGGCGGUUAUUCAAGUCAGAGGUGAAAGCCCGGGGCUCAACCCCGGAACGGCCUUUGAAACUAGAUAGCUAGAGUCUUGGAGAGGUUAGUGGAAUUCCGAGUGUAGAGGUGAAAUUCGUAGAUAUUCGGAAGAACACCAGUGGCGAAGGCGACUAACUGGACAAGUACUGACGCUGAGGUACGAAAGCGUGGGGAGCAAACAGGAUUAGAUACCCUGGUAGUCCACGCCGUAAACGAUGAUAACUAGUUGUUCGGUCACUUGGUGACUGAGUGACGCAGCUAACGCAUUAAGUUAUCCGCCUGGGGAGUACGGUCGCAAGAUUAAAACUCAAAUGAAUUGACGG